GGUGGCGUUUAAAUUUUAAUAUCAUAAAGUGAAACUUACUUUGAUAUCGUAAUCAAUGAAGAGUGCAGUAUAUUCACCCUUGUAGUUUUAAGUGCACAUCUUGUAUAAGUUGGGUGUUGACAAAUUACACACUAUGCGGGAGACAUUGGAGAAGCCAUUAAUUAUACAAUUUUCAGUGUUUCUUUAUAUUUUUAAUUAUGUUGGGAAAAGAGGACUUACUUUUUCUUAGUAUACCUCAAUCGCACAGUCAUAUAUUCGUCUUUUUUAUUUUAUUAUUUCAUUUCUUUUUAUAUAAAAG
rnacentral:lncRNA from 1 species